CCUACGGGUGGCAGCAGUCGAGAAUCAUUCACAAUGGGGGAAACCCUGAUGGUGCGACGCCGCGUGGGGGAAUGAAGGUCUUCGGAUUGUAAACCCCUGUCAUGUGGGAGCAAAUUAAAAAGAUAGUACCACAAGAGGAAGAGCCGGCUAACUCUGUGCCAGCAGCCGCGGUAAUACAGAGGACUCAAGCGUUGUUCGGCAUCAGUGGGCGUAAAGGGUGCGUAGGCGGUUUCGUAAGUCGUGUGUGAAAGGCCCGGGCUCAACCCCCGAAUGGCACAUGAUACUGCGAGACUAGAGAAAUGGUGGGGGAAGCGGAAUGCUCGGUGUAGCAGUGAAAUGCGUAGAGAUC
rnacentral:rRNA from 1 species